AGAAGGCUUUAGCAAGUCGGGGCCAGUGGCGCAAUGGAUAACGCGUCUGACUACGGAUCAGAAGAUUCUAGAAGCCCAUGGAAACAAGGCGAUGACGGCGCUUGAGGGUGACCAGACCUCCUCAAUCAUUCCAUCAGCCACCCAGGACUCAACAGCAGAACCUCAGAGGACUCAGCUGAAAGAGGUUUUCACUCGAGCACUAACCACAGAGAAAUGGGAAGUGCCAUCCUGCUGUCAUACGCAGCCGAUGGCUGGGUAGGACUAAAUGCCCUUCUGUGGUGAGAUGAACCAAGACGGCAGAUGGGGGAAUAACAUCAGUGAGAGAGAGAUUACGAAUGGAUCCUUGUAUUGCAGAUCAAACUGGGUUGUCUCUUCUCAAACCACCCAGGCAGUUUCUGAAUGUCCCAAGAUAGGGGUAGGAGAAAAGAAAAAAAAGACAAAACAGGAGACGGUGGGUAAGAAAACCUAAAAGGCACAAUGAGGCAAAGGCCUAAGAUGGAGGCUGGCUUUGGGAUCUGAAAUCCGGCCACAAUCCUCCUUGUUUUACCUCAAGUCCAAGAAUUGUCAAAAAGAAAACCCAGAAGGGCUAUUCAUUCUAAAUUUUAAAAUCUUUUCUUCCUGGCCUACCAAGUCCUUGUGUUUUCUUUCUAGGCGCCCAUAAAUACAACCCCAUUACAGUUCUAUUUGGCUAAUAAUUUACAGAACAUUUAAAAUACCGGGUAGGUGAACAUCUCUUCAUGGCUUUUGUGUAAGGGCCUGAAGCGAAGAGAAAAACAACUGAUUGGAGAUUCCUAUCUGGCGCCUUCUCCAGGGAAACUGACAACCAGAGAAAUCUGUUGCUAGGAUUUCUAGGACAUCUGGAAAUUCCCUUUUUGUUCUUUCUCAACAAUAUAAAAUGGUAUAUUCGCAAACCUAUCUGAAUCACCUCAAUCUAGGCCACUUUGAAAAUUUCAUUUAAAAAUGUAAUCACAGAUUUUUAAACUAAUUACCCAAUUUGCAAACAAAUCCCAGCUACUUCUGGUCUUGAACAUGGAGCAAAGGUGUGUCAGUAAGGCCAACAUUCUUAGGUUGACAGAGACAGGUUAACACAUUGGCUGGCUUCAUUUACCCCCCUGCCACGCCCCACACUGAGCUGGAUGAUUUGAUGGGAAGAGAGGGUCCCCACCUCAGGGUUCACUUCCCCAGCCCCAGCGUUCAUGGGUUUUCAGGAGGCUCAGCCUGUGAAAAAGAACCAAUGAUGAUGCACACCCUGGCUGAAGUGACAUCUGGCCAAAGGAUUCCAACAGAAUGAAUUCCAUCAACAUGGAAAAGAUAAUCCAUGGCACCAAUUCUGUGCUGCUUACAGGCAAUGGUUACCAAAUGAGUCAAAACAUGGCCUAGAAGUGGAGCCGGGCCCAAUGAAAAGCCUGAGUUCACACGUGCUAGGGGCUCCACUGACCGGCCUCUGCAGCCCAGCACCCAGUCCUCUUGCUCUGGGUGCAAGGUGAGGAGGCAGAGUGCACACACCGGCUCCUGUGUCCCCGGCCUGGCUGGCAAUGGUAAAAUGGGCUGCCUUUCUUUUGCAGCUUCUUCUAAUCGAAAUACCAAAGGGUACUGACCUCUGGCCUCAGGGAUGUGACUUGCAGUGCAAAUUUUACCUCUUCAGUGCAGAGAGUGGUCUUGAAAUCUUGCCAGUGUGUGGCCCUCCCUCAGCUCCUGCCACCCUGGGGAGCCAGGAUGCUGAAAUGCAUAAGGCAAAAGCACUGAAUCGGAUCUAUUCCCCACUGACCUUUAGUUACGAUCACUCUGCCCUGACCAGCUGGAGUUGGGCCUGUGUGAAGCCAGUGAUUUCCAACACACUGAAGAAGGUAUCUGAGUCCAGUGUGAAAGCCAAAUUCCUCCUGAAUCUGUGAUUUGGUGAAGCUCUGUGAGGUAUUUUUUGUGUGUGGAAGACUGAAAGUGAAGGGAAACAACUAAAAAAAUUAAACAGACAAAAGCAGUGUACCUUAUCCUGGUUUCUUCAAACAUAAUGCCUGUGCCAAGAAUUGGGCAGGAGAGAAACCAACGAAAUGAAUAUAAUAACUUAUCCUGAGGCGCUCCCUCCCACGCUGGCUUAGAGAUCUCGCACACACAAAAACUCUCCUUGUUUAUAAGAAGCUGUCUCUCAGUAUGCGGGCAGCUCUUCCCAAAAGCCCGUCAUUAAAUAAGCUAAAAACAGGUGCAAGCGAUGUACCUGCAUGGGUUCCUGAGACUUGCCUUGCAGAAGCGGCCUUCCAAGUCACCAACUCUUGAGAACUCCAGAGAAAAACAGCGCAAACACGUGGGCAAAAAAAAAAAUCCUGGUGCCUGCACCAAGUUCUUCUCCCAAAGUAUGUUUUACUCACAUAGGGCAAAUUUCUGUCGCGGACUCAGCUGCCUUUAGGAGAGUAAGGAUUUGAAGGGGUACAGAGAAUGCUGUCAGUGUCUAAGGAGGAAACCCUGCCUCACCUAUUUCAAAUCUUGACUCUGGUUUUCUAAGCAAAUUUAUCUUAGGAUACAAAGCACACAUUAGAGCUUCCUUCUUGCCUUAAUGCAAUUAAAUUUGCAGCCAUUCUGCAGAAGAACUGAAGCUCUCAGGUGAAAAGAAGCCUUAAAUCAUGCCAUGAUAUAUGUCGGGGGAGGGAACAUUUGGGUAUAGGUAUUUUCCUGAAGGAAGAGAAAGGGUUGAAUGUAUUGGCAGCUGAGCUGUCCCUUCAAGGGGAUAUUGUGAAACAAGCUCAAUAAAAACCUCUCCCUCUGAAGCAUGAAAUGUUCCCAGAGGGGACAGGAGGAUUCCUUUGGUGCUAUGAUGCAACCUCAGGUCAUGUGCUCGCACAUGCUGGAGCAUUUUCCUGAGUAACCUGAGGAAAAUGUGGCAACAGAGAAAAGCACUUGGAAAAUACACGCAGGAGGCAGGUAGUGUUCACCUCCCUGGUUAAAGGAAAGGCACCCCCCACAUGCUCACAGGAACUCUCCCUCCUGCCCCUCCUCUUCCCCUACCCCACUUCCACCCCAGGGGCCACCGGAAGCAGCAGCAGCAACCCCGGCUCCUCAUCCCCUGCCGUGAUGUCUGCAAGUGGCUCUGGCUAGAAGUGGUGCUGGUGAAGGGCUGUAGAUGAGGGUCUCUUCUCCAGCCUCUUCACGUGGCAGGAGUGACAGAACAGGUGGUCCUCCAGCGGAUAACAGCGGUGGCCAUCUUCAUCAUUGAGCUCCAGACCACAGUCCUGUGGGGAGGCAGACAUGUCCAGGGGAAGCAAAACAAAACAGACUGCAAGACUGACCUGAAGGCCACAGUCCCCAAAAUCAGCAGAGGGUGCUGUGUGUUUCUGUAUAGGCAGGAAAUGCCAGUGCAGAAACACAGCUCCUGCCCCGUGGAGGCCUGUCCAACACAGGAGACACUGCCACAAGGCACUUGCUGUGAACCACUUAAAAUGUGCUGUCAGUGUAAAUGCAGAUUCCGAAGACUUAGGACAAAAAGAGGAUGUAAAAAUAUCU
rnacentral:lncRNA from 10 species